UUUAAACCUGGACAAGUGCCUUCUUCAGUGCAUGCGUUCUCGUUUACGCAUGUUGCAGUUUGUAAAUCCUGUGAGCGAACCCGGCCACCAGUUUACCACUGUUCACUGUCACUCUUAUCUGUUUCAUAACGAUGUCAUUCGAGAGCUCUGUAAGUAGUGGUGCUGAAGCAGGAGCCCCCAAAAAUCAGUAACUCCCGGAAGGAAUCGAGAUGCUACCAGACAUGAUGAAGACUGCCCCCCUGGCGCAGGGAACAGAGAUGCUGAUUUCCAGCAGAGCAUCAGUGAAAUAUUAGCGACAAUGUCAGGAAAAGAAAAUGUGGCCUCAGAGCAGAAACAUACCACACCAAGAGCGAGCGGGUUUAUGCGGCGCGGUUUUCCACUUGCAAGCGCGCAUUUUGCAAGGAUGGUGACUAAAGGUUCUCCUGGAUUCCCCGUUUCAGACCAUAAUCCCCCCGGUAAGAAAUAGGGCAGGGGUCACCACGUAGAAGCUAGAACACUCCCCCUUCCCUCCACAGCCACGUUUUCUCACUUUGGAAAGGGCAGGGAGUCUUGACAACCAAUCCUUGGCUUCCUGUUCUGAAUAUCAAUGCGCUAGGGCCUCGGGACUUCUAGAGCAGGAGCGCCGUCUAGUGGACAGUUGUGGAGUUACAGGCUCAACUACAAAG
rnacentral:lncRNA from 1 species